rnacentral:rRNA from 1 species
GGAUGCGAUCAUACCAGCACUAAUGCACCGGAUCCCAUCAGAACUCCGAAGUUAAGCGUGCUUGGGCGAGAGUAGUACUAGGAUGGGUGACCCC